rnacentral:ncRNA from 1 species
CUUAUCAAGAGUGGUGGAGGGACUGGCCCUAUGAAACCCGGCAACCUAUAUAUUAAAAAUAUAUUGGUGCUAAUUCCUGCAACUUUAAAGUUGGAAGAUAAGG